rnacentral:tRNA from 1 species
GUGUGGCUCAAUAGUAGAGCUCCUGCCUAGCAAGCAUGAAGUUCUGAGUUCAAACCCCAGUAC